rnacentral:lncRNA from 1 species
GAAGGGAGGAGUCAGACAAGAAAGUACAGCUUGCAUAUACAAGCUUUGGUUUUUGCCAGUAAAUUAAAUGCCAACCUGUACUUGAGCACGAAGCCCACGCUCAAACCUGCCAGCCCAGCUUUAAGCUUCAUGAAGUCCAGAAUUUCUUGAAAGCUAUAUGGGGAAGAGCCAACUGUUGUGUCCUUACGUGCAGUUCAUAUGAUUAACGCUUCCAGAUGUGAUCCAGCAAGAAGAAUCUGCAACCAAGCAUGCAGUGCAGUGCUGACUUAUCCCUGGAAGUGCACCUGUAUCAGAGAAUAAGGAGUUUCUGCUGAACAGAAACUCACUGCAAAGAGGUGGGCACAUUUUGCUGCCCCUCUGUGGACACUUGAAUCCAAUGGCGCAGAACACAAACUCCCUUUGCAAUAUUCAUUGAUAUCCAAAUGGCUUCUCUUUAUCUCCAACUUGUUGCUCCAGGAGAAAAUAAAAUUAC